GCAUCGGUAGUGCAGCGGUUCGAGCACGUGCUCCCGGAUAGGGUGAAAUUUGGGUUCCAUUCCCACCUGUCGCA